AUACGUAGGUGACAAGCGUUAUCCGGAUUUACUGGGCGUAAAGGGCGUGUAGGCGGUCUUGCAAGUCAGAAGUGAAAUUCCUGAGCUCAACUCGGGCGCUGCUUCUGAAACUGCAGGACUUGAGUGCUGGAGGGGAUAGCGGAAUUCCUAGUGGAGCGGUAAAAUGCGCAGAUAUUAGGAAGAACACCGGUGGCGAAGGCGGCAAUCUGGACAUAAACUGACGCUGAGGCGCGAAAGCGCGGGGAGCAAAAAGGAUUAGAUACCCUGUUAGUCCACGCCGUAAACGAUGAAUACUAGGUGUAGGGGGUAUCGACUCCCUCUGUGCCGCAGUUAACACAAUAAGUAUUCCGCCUGGGGAGUACGGCCGCAAGGUUGAAACUCAAAUGAAUUGACGGGG
rnacentral:rRNA from 1 species